rnacentral:rRNA from 1 species
AGCUCCAAUAGCGUAUAUUAAUGUUGUUGCAGUUAAAAAGCUCGUAGUUGGAUUUCUGACAGGAGCGACCGGUCCGAACAUUCGUGUUCGUGUUACUUGUGUUGUCUCUAGUCAUCCUUAUAGAGAAUAAAUAUUGGCAUUAAUUUGUUGUGUUUAGGACCUAUAUCGUUUACUGUGAAAAAAUUAGAGUGUUCAAAGCAGGCAAUCGCUGUGAAUAUAUUAGCAUGGAAUAAUAAGAUAGGACUCUGGUACUAUUUUGUUGGUUUGCAUACCAAAGUAAUGAUUAAGAGGGACAGUUGGGGGUAUUCGUAUUUAUAUGUCAGAGGUGAAAUUCUUGGAUUUUAGAAAGACGAACUACUGCGAAAGCAUUUACCAAGGAUGUUUUCAUUAAUCAAGAACG